rnacentral:rRNA from 1 species
GACAGAGGGUGCAAACGUUGUCCGGAAUCAUUGGGCGUAAAGAGCGUGUAGGCGGCCCGGUAAGUCCGCUGUGAAAGUCGGGGGCUCAACCCUCGAAUGCCGGUGGAUACUGUCGGGCUAGAGUGCGGAAGAGGCGAGUGGAAUUCCUGGUGUAGCGGUGAAAUGCGCAGAUAUCAGGAGGAACACCAAUUGCGAAGGCAGCUCGCUGGGACGUAACUGACGCUGGAGACGCGAAAGCGUGGGGAGCAAACAGG